GGCGACGGAGAGCGAGGAUGCCGGGGAAGCAGAGGCCUUGCCGGAGCGUCGAGGACACCCCGAGGACACGGCGACAGCGAUGGACGGCGACAUCCAGGGCAGCGGUGACGAGCGGUGACGGUGCGAGCGGCGGGGACAGUUUGAGGAUCCGCCAUGUUGCGCCCGUUCAGCCUCCUCCGCUCUCACCUCCACAUCCCGGCAAUGACUGACAGAUCUGAGGCCUCAUUGUGUCCUCGGGCUUAUUUCCUCGGUCACCAUCCAUGAUCUCCUCCCAUUUCAUGUCCGUCCAUAUUGGAGAAGAGGAUCAGACCGGAUCAUUGGUUCUGUGGAUCGAAGGCAGUGCUGCCCCAUCAUGUCUUAUAGAGGGCAGAACUUUAUUAUAGGACAACGCGUUUCGGGUCAGAUCGCUCCCUUCAUCAGGUUCUUAUAUGAAACCUUUUUGGGGUGAUGAUGCUCACACCCUUUAUGUUACAUAUUAUUCGUGUGAAAUCCCAUCACUAGAUACAUUUCAUCAAUAGAAAAGUCUUAACAUGUACAAAACUCUUCUGUAUGUAUGAUACAAUGUAACGAAACACCUGCUGCGCGGUUCAGACUGACAAGACCCUCCGCAGACCCCUCUGUUUGUUUGCGGACUGUUCCAGACCUCCUGCUUAGGCGUUAAUUCUGUUUUCACAGCGGUGAUUCCACUUUGGCGCUCGCUACAUAGACGACUUUCCUAAUAAGACUCCGAUGAUGUUUCUGUCACUUCGCCCUCAUUUUGCUUUUAAAAAAAUUCAGUGUUAAUGGCGUUUGGUGUUUUCCUCGCGGUGGGGCUGAUGCGGCGGAGGAGGAAUAACAAGGUUCAUAAGGAAUAAUUAGUUAAUUGGUUUCCCCCCCAUUAAACCUCUGACCCGUCUUCUGAGUGCCACAGUACGAGCCUAAACACCAGGUGGGCUCCCUCCAUUACUCUCCGCAUCCGCCUCAUC